CGGCCGCCUCGCAGGUACCUCCUUCCGCGCGCACGCUCCGCGCCUGAUAGCAGCGACAAGUGCCGGCUCGCGGAAAGCUAGCGGGGCUCCCUGGGCCCGGUGCGCCCGACAAUAACGCGUGAAUAACUUUUUCUUGCAGCGGUCCCCCGCGUCCCGGCCUGCAGCCUCCCCGGGCGCCGGCGCCCCCAGCACGCCCCAUCGGGCACCCCACUCCCUCCGAGGUGUGGGUGCGGCGGGCUGAUGAGGUGAUCCCUAGCCCGCCUGGGAGGAGCGCCUGGACUCGCGGGCGGCGGCGAGCGCCUUUACAAUGGCCCUGACCCUGUUUGAUACAGAUGAAUAUAGACCUCCUGUUUGGAAAUCUUACUAUUUGGAAGUCAAACCAGAAACUUCAGGCUCUACUACGAUGGCAAGCACUUUGUUGGGGAGAAACGCUUUGAGUCCAUCCACGAUCUGGUGACUGAUGGCUUGAUUACUCUCUAUAUUGAAACCAAGGCAGCAGAAUACAUUGCCAAGAUGACGAUAAACCCAAUUUAUGAGCACAUAGGAUACACAACCUUAAACAGAGAGCCAGCAUACAAAAAACA
rnacentral:sRNA from 1 species